GACGAACGCUGGCGGCGUGCUUAACACAUGCAAGUCGAACGGUAAGGCCCUUCGGGGUACACGAGUGGCGAACGGGUGAGUAACACGUGGGUGAUCUGCCCUGCACUUCGGGAUAAGCCUGGGGAACUGGGUCUAAUACCGGAUAGGACCACUGCCUGCAUGGGUGGUGGUGGAAAGCUUUUGCGGUGUGGGAUGGGCCCGCGGCCUAUCAGCUUGUUGGUGGGGUGAUGGCCUACCAAGGCGACGACGGGUAGCCGGCCUGAGAGGGUGACCGGCCACACUGGGACGGAGAUACGGCCCAGACUCCUACGGGAGGCAGCAGUGGGGAAUAUUGCACAAUGGGCGCAAGCCUGAUGCAGCGACGCCGCGUGAGGGAUGACGGCCUUCGGGUUGUAAACCUCUUUCAGCACCGACGAAGCGCAAGUGACGGUAGGUGCAGAAGAAGGACCGGCCAACUACGUGCCAGCCGCCGCGGUAAGAC
rnacentral:rRNA from 1 species